ACGAUGUCAGAGUUUGAUCCUGGCUCAGGAUGAACGCUGGCGGCGUGCCUAACACAUUCAAGUCGAACGGUGACGGGGACUUCGGUCCCCCGAUCAGUGGCGGACGGGUGAGUAACGCGUGAGCAACCUGCCUCUGCGUGGGGGAUAACGAUUGGAAACGAUCGCUAAUACCGCAUAAUGUAAUUUCUUGGCAUCUUGAAAUUACCAAAGAUUUAUUGCGCAGAGAUGGGCUCGCGUCUGAUUAGAUAGUUGGUGGGGUAACGGCCUACCAAGUCGACGAUCAGUAGCCGGACUGAGAGGUUGAACGGCCACAUUGGAACUGAGAAACGGUCCAG
rnacentral:rRNA from 1 species